AAGUUUUGGUGUGAACAGAGAGAGAGAGAGACCGACGACGGAACCAGAUAACGCUUUAGGGGAGAGAGAGAAACCGCAGGAAAGAGAGCCGGCGUAUGUACAUAUGCUAGCUUUUUGCUGUUUGUAUCGGUCAUUCCAACACGUGUGCUCCCAGCAAACAAUUUCUGUCGGAGAGCGCCCAACGGCAGCUCGUCCUGAUGCGUGAAGUGCCUGCUGGGUUAUUCUCGAUCCGAGUUGUUGCUUCGUUGGCUGGCUCCACAACUUCCAUACCACACGCGCUUUUUUGGACACGUUUUGGGAGCUUUGUUUGUUCCCGGACAAAACGUGAACGGAACCCAAAGGGGAAUUAAUAAAUUCAAGGUUACUCGUUCCGGAUAUACCCUUUAUACUGUUGCCAAGGCGUAGGCCUGUCGCCUGAGAAGUACAAAACUUAGAUUUGUUUAUAAGAGGCAAAACGGGUUUCGUAUUUCAGACAGACCGCAUACAAGGCAGAUCAGAGACGCCAUGGAAAAUAACCUUAGCUCUGUACCAAUGGAAGGCUGCGGCUGAUCGAAUUGAAGGUAUUUCUGUGGAGUGGAGGUUUUUUGCCCCGAAUACGAAACAAGUUCGAUAAGAAAACUAUUUUUGAGUGGGUUGCAAAUAUCAUUGUAAGCCAAAAUAAAAAAAAAACUACUUUACUUUGUCCAGCUUUAAUGUUAACCAAUUAAAAUUGUAUACCUAA